ACUCUGCAUCUGGGGGGAAGAGACAGGCAGGGACAAAGGGGAUCUAAUCAGGAGGGGAUCUCUCUGAAAAGGCUCUUGUUUCAAGUACUCUCAUCAUUUUUUCACUGAUCUGGUAAAGCAGCGGGGGGGGGUCCCUGAGGGGCUCUCACUUUUGGCGCCAAGUGCCAGUCUGUGCACACAGGCAGGCAGGUGCGACCUGCUCUGGGGACAGUGCCAGGUGGGGAGUUUGAUUAGGGAGGUACACCUGUCUAUGGUAAUGCAGGUGUCCUAAUGCAAGCUCAAGGAAGACAAAAAAACCUCCUGUGGCAAAAGAGCAAAAGCUUGAUCUUGAUUUCAGUUCGAAUACAGACUAUGAAAAAAGAGCCCUUUUAGACCAGGAUGAGUCCAGACAAGGCUUUUAAA
rfam:Neotoma lepida isolate 417 scaffold_3876, whole genome shotgun sequence.